GAUGAACGCUGGCGGCGUGCCUAAUACAUGCAAGUCGAGCGAAUGGAUUAAGAGCUUGCUCUUAUGAAGUUAGCGGCGGACGGGUGAGUAACACGUGGGUAACCUGCCCAUAAGACUGGGAUAACUCCGGGAAACCGGGGCUAAUACCGGAUAACAUUUUGAACCGCAUGGUUUGAAAUUGAAAGGCGGCUUCGGCUGUCACUUAUGGAUGGACCCGCGUCGCAUUAGCUAGUUGGUGAGGUAACGGCUCACCAAGGCAACGAUGCGUAGCCGACCUGAGAGGGUGAUCGGCCACACUGGGCCUGAGACACGGCCCAGACUCCUACGGGAGGCAGCAGUAGGGAAUCUUCCGCAAUGGACGAAAGUCUGACGGAGCAACGCCGCGUGAGUGAUGAAGGCUUUCGGGUCGUAAAACUCUGUUGUUAGGGAAGAACAAGUGCUAGUUGAAUAAGCUGGCACCUUGACGGUACCUAACCAGAAAGCCACGGCUAACUACGUGCCAGCAGCCGCAGUAA
rnacentral:rRNA from 1 species